GUCGUCAUGGAAGAAACCAUUGCUGAGGCUAGCUCUCUGCCUGCACACUGGUCCCCUCAACAGGCCGAACUAUAUGCUCUAAUCCAGGCCCUCCAGCUGUCAAAAGGGAAGAAGACAAACAUUGACACAGACUCCAGGACAGAAUCUCAGAACUGUACUGCCUGCUCACAGGCCAAUGCUACCUCUCGGCAUGGACAGAAACCUCCAGGGAUUCAGCUAAAAGGCACGCUGCCCUCUGAAUACCUGGAAGUGGACUUCACUGAAAUGAAAUCUCACUGACACUACUGCUACCUGCUGGUCAUGUUAAAGUUGCAGGUAUUGCCCCUGGGAUUCACCAUACGAGGGUGAAGAGAGCAAACCACGCAGACCCAGAAAACGCUCAGUGGACUGCGCAGAGGGGCCCCACUGACCCUCAGGAGGCCAAGAUCAUCCUUAAGAAGA